UUUGAGGCCACCUGCAUCAUAAAGAGUAGCUGUAGUAUUUCUAAUGACUGAUUUCAUGGUCCAAUUUUUAAAUCCAACAUGUGAGGGAGAAAACAUUAAACUCCCCAUGCCGUAGUUUCUCCAAAUGUGAAAGGAGGUGGCAAUGACACUUACCUAUAUAAUGUUAUUGUGUGGAUGAAAUGAGGUAACAUCUAUAAAAUUUAGUAUGGUGAUGAUGACUCCUUAAGAAUUCACUUAAUGUUAACUAUUUUUAGUAAGAUACAAAGAUAACCCGUUAAAAUAUGAGUUUGAAAGAAUGGCUUAGUUUAUUUAAAUUAAUAACUAAUUUUAAAAGUAGAGAACUUAAAAACCCAAAAGUUAUAAAUAAAAGGGAUAUCUACUUUAAAAGUACAUUUAUUGGCAUCACAAAGGUUUUUUUUUUUUUUUAAGAUUUUAUCUAUUUAUUCAUGAGGGACACAGAGAGAAAGGCAGAGACAUAGGCAGAGGAAGAAGCAGGCUCCCUGUGGGGGGCCCAAUGCUAGCCUCCAUCCCAGUACUCCAGGAUCCUGCCCUGAGCCAAAGGCAGACGCUCAACCACUGAGACACGUAGGUGUCCCACAAAGGUUUUACAGCAUAUUGAUUCAGCAUUUAAGAAACUGAACUGAAAAACAAAGGAUAUCUUAAAAAGUCCAACAUUCCUUGGUGAUAUCAAGUGACUGGGACUAAGGAGCAGCUGCUCAUCACAGUUAGGAUGUGUUUUUACUGUUUUCACUUGUUCCAAACCACUGCUUGCUGUUUUUGGUUUUUUUGUUUUGUUUUGUUUUUGUUUUUUUUUCCUAUUACUGAGUUUCUUCAUUUAUUUUUCAUUACUGGCCAGACCCAGUUAUUUUUUAAAUUUACCAUUUCUAGUGAAUCUAAUACUCAAGAUUCUACCAAGUUAAAGACCUGUAUGUGACCAGGAAGGGAAAAUAAACACAAAGUAUAUCCUAAAAGGAGGAGCAUGAGUACGGAAAACUUGAAGCUACCUUUAUUUUUGAAAACAGCAUCCUCAGAGCUCCUGCUAUGGCAACUCAAAUCUUGUGAAUGGUCUGCAAGAGAGCUCCUUGGUGAAGAGUGGCAUGCCCAAUACCAUGGGAGACUGUUCACUGAUUAUCUGCUGAACCCUGAAAGCAUAUUUGAAUUAGCCCUCAAAAUGUAUUGCACAGAAUAUGUGUUUCCUGUUCAUAAAAAGCUUUGAUAUCCAAGAGGGAACUACUACCUAUACCACAUAAUGAAACACUUUUGCCCAUUUUCUCCUCACUGGGCUCAUUCUACAACUUGCCUGAAUGAGUAAGGUACCCCACCAGAGCUGUGGGUUAGAGAAAGGAAGACAAAAAAAAAAAAAAGAAUAAGAGAAGUAGAAGAAUAGAUCAUGCUCUCAUACCUUUCCCUGUGAAUGAUGCUAAACCAUGGUUCUGAUGUGAGCCCAGAAUAAAAUAAAU
rnacentral:lncRNA from 1 species